rnacentral:rRNA from 1 species
AACGUAGGAGGCGAGCGUUAUCCGGAUUUACUGGGCGUAAAGCGCACGCAGGUGGCCUUGCAAGUCGGACAUGAAAGCUCCUGGCUUAACUGGGAGAGGUGGUUCGAAACUGCUCUGCUUGAGUGUGGGAGAGGCGCGUGGAAUUUCCGGUGUAGCAGUGAAAUGCGUAGAGAUCGGAAGGAACACCAGUGGCGAAGGCGGCUCCCUGGACCAACACUGACGCUGAGGUGCGAAAGCGUGGGGAGCAAAC